ensembl:lncRNA
CCACCACCCUACUUGAGUGUUCUCUACUGGCCACUGUGGUGGUCCACUGUGAAGAGGGGUGUGACCCCCAUUUCUGAGGAUUGAGCCAGGAAUCUCCAAAUACCUUGCACCACCUGCACAAUUUGAUUGAGAUCCUAGGAGCAAGCAUCUUCUUUCCUGAGCUGGAAACAAUCUCGAUGUGGAUGGAUGUGCAACAGACAGAGGAAAACUAGAUGAAGAGCCAGAACACUUUUCAUUGGAAGUGCAGUAAGUAAAGCUCCAGCAGGAGUCUGGGGCGGGGGGGUGAAGAGAAAAGUCU